UGCACACUAAUUUAGAACAGUUUGUUAAGAAAUUGGUUUUGGAGAGAAAACAUGAGAGGAAGGGAAACAUCUCAAAAUAGUUUCAUACAAUCCCAGCCCAAACCUAUUGACUUCAGUGUGUCAUCAGUCUCCUGUGACAAUAAUAUGAGAAUUACCAUUUGUUUUCUUUAUGGGCACAACGCAGCAGCUCUACUUAGCACAGCUCUGCUGCUGGGGCUGCCAAAAUCACCACUUCACUGAAGCCCAGGGCUGGGCAGUUGGCUGAAGAAUUUUCCCUUUUUCCCUUCUCCUGCUGGCUUCAGCAGCACAGUGGAGGGGAUGACUUUUGUAAUUCCCUUUUUCAAACUGCUGAAAUCAGGGUUUUUUUUUGGAUAUAAAGGAAAUGUGAAAGCAAUUUCAAUCUAAUUAAGCAUAUACAAUAGGUACCCAUAAUAUUCUCUAGUCAAAGAGCGUAUUGAUCUAUAAUGGAAGGUUUCAUUAAUUCCAUUUGAGGAGGCAUGUUAACAAAUGAGGGCAGUAACAUCUGAUCUGGUGAGUGCCUCGAGUUUCCUCUCUUCUUUCUGCACUAAAAUCUCAGAAUUAAGCUAACCAGAUCAAAUAUUAUUUUUCUUUUAUUUGUCCAUCUUCUUAUAGGACCUACGGAUAGAAGGUCCUAUCUGCACAAUUAACGCAGAACUCCUACUGAAAUCUGUGUGUUUGCACCACUCUGCUGAGUUUCAAUUCUGACUACGUUAAUAAUUAGAAUUGUACGUAAUGUCAGUAAGAAGAAGUCCCUCUAUCCAGAUUGGGCCACUAGCUGGAGAUACCACUCUCUAUACACUGAAAGUUCUCAACCACUAGCUUACACUGGAAACCUGCCUACAACCAUCUGAAGUUAGAUGAGAUGAGUCCUGCUUUUUAUAUUAGAUACAGAAGAAGAAAGAAGUCGUCAAACCAAAACCAAUAUGUGGUGCUGAUAGAUGAGGACAUUCACCAUAUUCCCUUGACUACAGAUUAUAUUCAGGCAACAACCCUGCCAUAAUUUCAGGAAAACAACUGCAGAGUCCUUGCACAAGACAUGACAGCAGUUCACAUAAAGAGAAACAGGCAGGGAGGAAGGGGUAACCAGGAACAUCCGCAGAAAUACACAGCUGAAGUUCUAGCAGCCCAGUGCUCAAGUGUGCACUCACAACGUGAUAGACAGAGAACUUCACAGACUGCCCAAGUCGUGCCUUGUCAUUCCUAUCACACAUAAAGGUUAAGAACAUCUGUGAUAACAGAUCUGCGAAACCUAAAAAAAAAAAGAUUCCUUUACCUACUGUGGGCUUACAGAAUCUGAAGUUAAAUUCCUGCUCAUUGUUUGGUAAGUUAACUCAUUUAUCAUUUCAAAAUAAGCUAGCUGGUUUGCUUCCUCAGUAUCUGAAGGGGUACAUGCACUUCUGCUAAUUGAAUCAUUGUUCUUGGAAACACUGCAGCUGAGUUCAUGAAAUACACAUAAGCAGGUGUAUCGUAAGUUUAAGCUGAGCAUUUGUAUUAGAAUUCAUAUGGAAAACCUUGAACUGUGAACUUCAGAAAUGGAAGUCCAAUAAGCCUUCCACAGUUCAAAAGAUUUCAUCAGCGUCUCAUUUACUGAAUACCUUAGGCACACCAACACAAUAAAUGUGAAAGAAGACUCUUCUUUCCAUGUUUUGACCCUCUUUUUCCAGGCCCUACAAGCUGUUUUCCCAUAUGACUUCAAC
ensembl:lncRNA